GUUAGAUGGGCCCUUGUCCAAAGCAGAUUGGAUCUCUUUUCAGCUGUUUCAGCAGAGAGGAUCAGAAAUGACAGAGGAAGAAGAGAAGAAAUUGUUUCUCUCAAUUCAUCCAGUAUCUUUUCUGUCAUUCAAAGCCUUCAGACUCUGGAGAAAUUGAAUGAACACACACUGUGGGACCAGGAGAGCAGAAGGCAUUGGAGAAAUCACUCAGCGAGAGAAGAAGAGGGGAAGGAUUUGAGCAGAAAUGGGCUCAGAGGAAGGACAGAGAGGUGGAAGAAUUCCUUUUGGGAUCCUUCUCCCAGAUCACUGAGACAGCUACCUCUGGAGAAACACUACUUCCAGGGCAAGACCUGGGUGAGAUUUCUUAUAAAGCAAGCUGGAAAAUCUUAUAUACAAUGAGACAUUACUUUCGGAGCGAUCUACAUGUUUCAAGUGACAUGACCAAUGUCAUACAGGACACCCAUGGCAGAGCUGAGGACUGAACCCAUUUCUCCAAGCUUUAGUUCAACAAAUGCCAUUGCCCAUUGGCUUCCACUGAAGUCAACAACCCUACAGUCCUCCAAGGAGGUGGGAGUCUCUCCGAGAACAGCUUGCAAGAGGAGGGACCUGAUGAGCAAUAGAAAAUGAGCCAAACUAACAAACAAUUAAUUGCUACUAGCAAAAAAAAAAAAAAAAAAAAAAAAAAA
ensembl:lncRNA